AACGAACGCUGGCGGCAUGCCUAACACAUGCAAGUCGAACGAGACCUUCGGGUCUAGUGGCGCACGGGUGCGUAACGCGUGGGAAUCUACCCUUGGGUUCGGAAUAACUCAGAGAAAUUUGAGCUAAUACCGGAUGAUGUCGAAAGACCAAAGAUUUAUCGCCCAAGGAUGAGCCCGCGUAGGAUUAGCUAGUUGGUGAGGUAAAGGCUCACCAAGGCAACGAUCCUUAGCUGGUCUCGAGAGGAUGAUCAGCCACACUGGGACUGAGACACGGCCCAGACUCCUACGGGAGGCAGCAGUGGGGAAUAUUGGACAAUGGGCGAAAGCCUGAUCCAGCAAUGCCGCGUGAGUGAUGAAGGCCUUAGGGUUGUAAAGCUCUUUUAGCAGGGAAGAAGCGAAAGUGACGGUACCUGCAGAAAAAGCGCCGGCUAACUACGUG
rnacentral:rRNA from 1 species